rnacentral:lncRNA from 1 species
GCGUAUGCCGCUGGAGCGCGCUGAGCGUGUGCCGGGGGCUGGGCCUAAGUUCUCCCCAACCCUUGCCAGCCGAGUUGGAUAAGAGGGGGUCGGGAGAAAAUAGAGCCCUGAUCCCCCCUCCUCCCUAGGGCCCAGAGAAUCGGUGUGCAUGCGUGUGUGCGCGCACGCGCGUGUGUGUGACGGGUGGUGGUCGGGGAAUGUCUCAAGCUAGAAGUCCCAGGUUUUAGGGGUUUAAGUGGAGCUGGGAGACCCGCUUUCCUCCCACACCAGGCGCAGACGCCGAGGCACAGCUCCGCCAGCCGCCCCGCCUUUACCUGGCGGGAUACUCACCUCUCCUCCUUCCUGGGGAGGCCACCGCCUCCCUCUCCCCCUUCUGCCCUGGGCUGGUUCCCAGCGAGGUGAGUGACCGGCACAAGUAGGGAAGGAGGAAGCGAGUUU